rnacentral:lncRNA from 1 species
UUUCUUUUAAGGAAGAAACUAACGUGGUUUCUGAACUUCCUGACGUUCAGAAAAAAGCACUUGAUGAACUUAAACAACUUAUUCAAGAAGCGCUUAACAAACAUGAAUUCACCGCUCCUCCACCCGCUCCAGUCAAAGCACCUGAACCUGAAGUAGCUGUAAAAGAAGAGAAAAAGCCUGAAGAAGAUGAAAAGAAAACCGAAGAGGUGGUAGAAGAGAAGAAAGAUGAAGCAGUAGUUGAGGAGAAGAAGGUUGAUGAAGAAAAAGGUUCAACCUCUGAGGAACCUAAAGUUGAAACUGCUGAACCUGAAAAGGAGGAGAAGAAAGUGGAGGAAACGGUUGUAGAAGUUGUUGAGAAAAUAGCUGCAAGUAC